UGGAAGAUGAAGGAGCAAUUCCUUGUCGAAGCUGAUCGCAGAAUGGUCACAGAGCUGGAUCGAAUGGCAACGAAGAUGGUUCAAAGAGCAUCUAUGUGUGACCUAAAGGACUGCUGCCAGAGGGCAAUCAAUGCCUGCCUGGAUGAUUCAGUAAGACAAGGACUCAUUAGGGAUGCAGCAAUUCUACUGCUGCCUUCCAUUUUCAGAGAGGACUCAUCCUUUCUAUACACUCUACUGGAGGAGCCAAGCGUGCCUACUCCAGCAAUCAUGCUCCAUACCACACACGAGUGGAACCCUUUGCAGGCACAAAGGAUAACCCUAUACCUGGAUGGUAUACAAGUUUUGACUGAGG